UACGGGGGGGGCAAGCGUUGUUCGGAAUUACUGGGCGUAAAGGGCUCGUAGGCGGCCAACUAAGUCAGACGUGAAAUCCCUCGGCUUAACCGGGGAACUGCGUCUGAUACUGGAUGGCUUGAGAUUGGGAGAGGGAUGCGGAAUUCCAGGUGUAGCGGUGAGAUGCGUAGAUAUCUGGAGGAACACCGGUGGCGAAGGCGGCAUCCUGGACCAACACUGACGCUGAGGGAGCGAAAGCCAGGGGAGCAAACGGG
rnacentral:rRNA from 1 species